rnacentral:rRNA from 1 species
GAGUCUGUCAAGUACCAUGAGGGAAAGAUGAAAAGGACUUUGAAAAGAGAGUUAAAAGUGCCUGAACUCGCUGAAAGGAAAGCGGAUGGAACCAGUCGUGCUUGGCGAGAUUGUUGCGUGCAAAGGUGACUGCUCACUGCUCGUAGCGUAAGCGCAGCAGCGGGUUUCGAUCUGGUCGCGCGCGAUGCUUCUUGCCUUGUUCGUCAUCGUUGGUUUGGAGGCGCGGACAACUCUUGGGACAUGGUAACUCGCCCACGGGCGAGCGAAUGUGCCUUGCCGAACUCACCUCCAAACUGAUGUCUCUUGUUAGGUUCUGUUGCCGUACGCGGCACGUUCUUGACAAAGCGUGGUGACAGAAUGGUUCUAUUCGACCCGUCUUGAAACACGGACCAAGGAGUCUAACAUAUGUGCAAGUUCACGGGUGUUAAACCUGCUUGCGUAAUGAAAGUGACUGCUGGGAUUUUUGCUACCAGCAACCGACCAAAUCAAAUUGAGAGAGGUUUGAGUAUGAGCA